CAAAACCGCGAGGUCGANCCAAUCCCAUAAAACCAUUCUCAGUUCGGGUUGUAGGCUNCAACUCGCCUACAUGAAGCUGGAAUCGCUAGUAAUCGUGGAUCAGCAUGCCACGGUGAAUACGUUCCCGGGUCUUGUACACACCGCCCGUCACACCACGAAAGUUUGUAACACCCAAAGUCGGUGGGGUAACCGUAAGGAGCCAGCCGCCUAAGGUGGGACAGAUGAUUGGGGUGAAGUCGUAACAAGGUAACC
rnacentral:rRNA from 1 species